CGCCCACGCCGCCGCGCACGCCGCCACGCACGCCGCGCACACGCUCGCGCUCGUCACGAACGUGCUAACAGAAGUGCACAAGUGCAGGUCGCAGUGGCACACGGAGCCGCCACCGCCGCAGCUCGGCCCGCGAGCGUUACUGCCUGCACUGGCCGAGUUACAGAAACGAGCGAUCACCGAGCAAGCCCGCGCGUGCCCCGAGCCGGCGCUGCG